UUUUGGGGACUGAUUCAUUUGUAGACAUUAGAGAAGAGCAUGAAAACAAUGCUAUAAUUUUGAUGUUUCUGCCUCAUGAAAGUUUUUUUUUUUUAGAGAACUGCAUAUUUAAAAUUAAACAUCUCUUUAGCUUGUGUGUGCUGAUGAUACAUACACAGGGUGUGCAGCCUGCUGUUUGUUGACCUCUGAAUGUAUUGAUUUGACUUCAUAUCCUUCACCACAUAAUCCAUGACUAGCAUGGUUAUGUUUCCACACAGACUUGAGUUACUGCUUGUGGAGCAGUGUUCAGGUUUUACUUCACAGUGGGAAGGAUGAGCUCCUCAGCAGAUAACUUAAUAUGAUCGCAACAGCACAAAAUACUCUGAAUAUUUUCUUAAAAGAAAACUGAUCUCUGACUUGUUAGCUGUGUGCCAAGACAAGGAAACAAUGAGAAACACUAUGUGUUCAUACAACACUUUGCAUUUAAUGAUUGGCUAUUAUUAAUCUCUUUAUUUCUUCCACACUGUGUCUUCUCUCCUGUCUCCCUUCCCUCACCCCCAGUUUGAUCGUGGCAGAUGGCUGCCCUCCCACAGCUUGGUGUGCCCGAGGGUUCUUCCUGUCAAAAGGGAGUUUUUCCUUCCCUCUGUUGAUUGUUGGGGUUUUCUCUCUAUUAUGAUGAGGUCUUUACCUCAAAAUAUAAAGUGCCUCAAGGUGACUGCUCUUGUGAUGGUACUAUAUAAAUAAAACUGAACUGCACUGAAAUGAUUUGUGUGUGUGUGUGCGCGCACGUGUGUGUGUGUCAGAGUAAAAGAAACAAGGAAAUAAGGUAUCAGUUUGCUCAUCAUGCUAAUGCAAAUAGCUAUUCUGCCAGUGUAGACAUUCAGCUGUUCAACAUUAUUCCUACUGCUUGAAUCACUUCUUUUCCCCUUGCUAAGUUUGAAGUAUUACCUGUAAGACUAGCGGCAGCAGCUCAGUUUCACUCCGGAUGCCACAGCAGUGCAGAUACACUCAGGACACAAGUAUGAAUGCAAACACAGACAUUUCCCACUGCAGUGGGGAUCCAUCACAGGACUAUAAAAUCAAACUUAACAGAGAACUUAAAUGGGAAAAACAAUGUGUAACUUUACUCAUUACAAGCUCUAACAUGCUGCUUUGUAAACCAGUGCACCCAACACUGCUCAUGAGGUUAAUCUAUGGUAGCUAAAUUGGGAUAUCUGAUUUAAAUUUCAUGGAUUUAAAAACAUGUAAAGAAGGCUCGACUCUUCUCAGGUGGCCAGGCUGUGGCGGGGCCAGCACAGAGAGACACUCACAGUCACACCAGUGGCCAACUUGACUUGCCAGUUAACAUGAUAUGCAUGUGUUUGGAUUGUGGGAGGAAGAACCGACGCACGCAUGGGAGAACAUGCACACACCGGCCAGCUGGCAGUUCCUGGACUCACCUUGUCUUAGACCUCCGGCUUCACUCUGUACCUCACCUGCCUCGCCUCCUGCCACCACACUCCAUCAGGAACCUCUGGAUCUCUGGUCAACCCCCCACCACCACCAAUUGCUCUUUUCCUCCUCCUGCAAUGUGAUGGCUAAAUGCCCUGUUGCAGUCUGCAUCUAAGGCCCCGUUCCCCUCUCUAGAUCCUGUCCCCAUAGCCACGUUACCCAGGCCGCGCCACGUCAAGUUCCACGUUGUCCUUGCCACAUUUUCAAGUCCAGUCUAACUAAUAAACAUAUUGUAAAAACGUCCAGUUUUGGUGCUGACCUCUCAGUCCCGUGACAGAGUGUUUACUUUCCAUGAUGUUCUUAUAUUUUAUAGAUAUUUUGACAGCGUAUUUCAGUGUUACUACUCUGCCUGAUUUACU